rnacentral:rRNA from 1 species
GAUGAACGCUGGCGGCGUGCCUAAUACAUGCAAGUCGAGCGAAUGGAUUAAGAGCUUGCUCUUAUGAAGUUAGCGGCGGACGGGUGAGUAACACGUGGGUAACCUGCCCAUAAGACAGGGAUAACUCCGGGAAACCGGGGCUAAUACCGGAUAACAUUUUGAACCGCAUGGUUCGAAAUUGAAAGGCGGCUUCGGCUGUCACUUAUGGAUGGAACCGCGUCGCAUUAGCUAGUUGGUGAGGUAACGGCUCACCAAGGCAACGAUGCGUAGCCGACCUGAGAGGGUGAUCGGCCACACUAGGACUGAGACACGGCCCAGACUCCUACGGGAGGCAGCAGUAGGGAAUCUUCCGCAAUGGACGAAAGUCUGACGGAGCAACGCCGCGUGAGUGAUGAAGGCUUUCGGGUCGUAAAACUCUGUUGUUAGGGAAGAACAAGUGCUAGUUGAAUAAGCUGGCACCUUGACGGUACCUAACCAGAAAGCCACGGCUAACUACGUGCCAGCAGCCGCAGUAA